rnacentral:pre_miRNA from 1 species
AAUAGGAUAGCUGGGUUGAAUGGUGGUUCCAUUCCAAAUUUUCUAAGGAAUCUGCAUACUGCUUUCCAUAUUGGCUGCACCAGUUUGCAGUCCCACCAGCAAU